AUUUGCUCCUUCUUUGCCUUCCACCAUGAUUGUGAUGCCUCCCCAGCCAUGUGGAACUGUGAGUCAGUUAAACCUCUUUUUCUUUAUAAAUUAUCCAAUCUUGGGUAUGUCUUUAUUAACAGCAUGAAAACAGAUGAAUACAUCCUCCUUGCCUAAGUGCCUGAUGUUUGGGAUUCUUUACAAAACUCUUGCUGUCUUCCCUCUAGUGAGCAAAAACUCUGCUUUUCUUCCUAGUGAGUUUCUGUUUUCCUCAAAAGUACCCAUCAAAUCUAACUGCACAUUGGCUCUGGGGAUCAGUCUCACCUCAUCCCUCUGUGUUCUCUUUGGUUUAGAAUCCUUUUCUCUGCCCUGGACCAUGGUUAAAUACGGUUCUUGGGAAUGCCUUCUCCAGAGAGGACAUACCCAAGAGCCCAGGACCCCUGCACCAGAGCCGGGCUAUGCUGUUGUGCUCUGGAUCUCUUCAUAUUAAAAGGUGCAGCCCAGAACCUCACCUGAUGACCCCACCAACAAUGCAUAUUCCUCGAUGUAGUUUUUUUUGUUUGUUUUUGUUUGUUUGCUGUUGUUGUUGUUAUUCUGCUGCAUGUGACUCUUGAUAGAAUGAGUAGUCCAUCUCUUGAGGCCUCUUAGUAUGUAGCUAUGCUUGUACUUCUCAAUGGUUGUGUGUAUGUCAAACAUGUCCUUCACUGUUAUAACACUUUUAUUUCUCUUUAUUGGGAUUUACACUUGAUAUUUUCAGGUCUCCAAAUACAGUCACUAGCCUAAUGACUCCUACCAAGAACAUGUGUAGUUCAUAUGUGACAUUCUUCCUGAUUUAUAGGCUUUAUGAAUUGCAACCACUAGCCAAAAUCAUAUGAUUUUGAAUUUUUCUCUAGACUAGUACAAUUAAAAAUGUGGUCUGUGGAUAGAUUCUGAUCUGCCAACUGAGUAUUACUACUUAAAAAUGAGAUGAGAAUCUUACAUCAGAAUGUAAAUCAGCACCCUGCUUCCUUCAUCAAAUAAGUUUUGCUACUAAAAAAAUCAGCUGGCCGGGCAUGGUGGCUCACACCUGUAAUCCCAGCAAUUUGGGAGGCUGAGGUGGGCGGAUCACGAGGUCAGGAGAUCGAGACCAUCCUGGCUAACAUGGUGAAACCCCAUCUCUACUAAAAACACAAAAAAUUAGCCAGGCGUGGUGGCGGGCGCCUGUAGUCCCAGCUACUCAGGAGGCUCCACCGGGAGGUGGAGCUUGCAGUGAGCCGAGAUCCUGCCACUGCACUCCAGCCUGGGUGACAG
rnacentral:lncRNA from 1 species